GGGUGCUUGGCGCAAUGGCUUAGCGUGUUCGGCUUCGAUGCCCACAACCGUACCGAAAGGUUGCAGGUUCGAGUCCUGCAGUGCUCA